rnacentral:rRNA from 1 species
GAUGAACGCUGGCGGCGUGCCUAACACAUGCAAGUCGAGCGAACAGACGAGGAGCUUGCUCCUCUGACGUUAGCGGCGGACGGGUGAGUAACACGUGGAUAACCUACCUAUAAGACUGGGAUAACUUCGGGAAAACGGAGCUAAUACCGGAUCAUAUAUUGAACCGCUUGGUUCAAUAGUUAUAGGCGGUUUUGCUGUCACUUAUAGAUGGAUCCGCGCCGCAUUAGCUAGUUGGUAAGGUAACGGCUUACCAAGGCAACGAUGCGUAGCCGACCUGAGAGGGUGAUCGGCCACACUGGAACUGAGACACGGUCCAGACUCCUACGGGAGGCAGCAGUAGGGAAUCUUGCGCAAUGGGCGAAAGCCUGACGGAGCAACGCCGCGUGAGUGAUGAAGGCCUUCGGGUCGUAAAGCUCUGUUAUUAGGGAAGAACAACAGUGUAAGUAACUAUGCCCGUCUUGACGGUACCCAAACAGAAAGCCACGGCUAACUUCGUG